ensembl:lncRNA
CUCGCCUCCUUCUCAAACCCAUUGGAUGAGAAAGCCCUCCCUUUUGACCUUCUCGUCCAAUGGGUUUUGAGAAGGAGGUGAGGUGUCUCGGGAAAUACAAGGGACUCAACUGACCAAUCAGGGAUGUUUGGAUGUGGCCUACUUCCGUAGAGGUCCAUCCAUAACGUAAUCUAAGAGAAUAGAGGUAAUAUCAUGUAGUUUAUUUGUGUACCUGUUUUUAUUUACUUUUCAGCCAUUGGAAUCUGCUGAGUGAGAAUAUGCGUGCCGGGGUGAGUUAUAGUCACUUCUAAAGUAGUUCAUGUUGGUAAGAUGGACCAAACAUUCCAAACUCUUAUUGGUGGAAAUCGUGCAGGAGCUUUAAUUCAGAGGUUCCCAAACUUUUCUACUUAGGCCCCCCUUUCCAGCAUUGUGGAACAUCCUGAACCACUGCUUUAAUUGACUAGCUUGAGUAAACACAUGGUGCAGCAGUGCAGCUCCGUUAAAAGACCAUAUUGAGUUAGUUUGUUAACAUUUCAGAUGAGCAGAGAUGAGUUUAGUGCUAGGUGCAUAUGGAUAUUACAAAUUGGGUGAUGGAGUCUACAUCCACUGUGGUCGUUCCUGCCAUUGACCUCACUAUGCAGAUCGAGCUCUCUGAUUCGUCAAGCUCUUCUGGAUCAGGAAGUAAUGAGACAAGAGAAGUGACCUCUCUUGGCCGCAGCGUCAGAUUCAGCUUUUGUGGUGGACCCAGUAGACGCACCAGUUCUGGAACUGCUUGAAGCACACAAACUCCCACGCCUUUCCCCUCCUCUCACAGGUCCAUGACCUCUUUGCUGAGUGAUGACGAAGAACGAUAUGUCUCCUCACCUGAGGGUGGUGAGAGAGAUGAGACACAGACCCCACUCGGUACCACUGAGUUCUGUGUUUGGAAUCUCUGAGGAUUCUGUCUUCAACAUGGUCCAGAGAGGCCAGUCGCAGAGUGACAUCGUACUGUCGUCCAGUUGGAGUAGACGGAGAAAUACAGACCUGUCAAAAUACCAACGGACACCAAGUUUAUGAUGGGUAUUGUGGAGUUGGUAAUGAACCUUCUCAACUCUAGAUUGGCUGAGCUAAUGCGAAGUUUCAGUCAGGGAACUCUAGGUCCGCUGUCUGGUAGUAUCUCAGCAAGUCAGCAGUUUGCCCAAGAAAUGCUAAGCGUGGUGUUUGCUAAGAUGUAUUCCCAUGCCAUAGAGCAUAUUGCGCACGGCCACAAGUCUCAUCCAAGUCAAUUUCUGUCUGACAACAGAAUGACAGAAGUGUUGUGGAUCUUGUACUUGAGGUUUUUGGGAUAACAGGAUUUUUGGAUAGCAGGAGCCCGUCAAGGCUAGAGUGCCUGCUCCUACAACUCAGCUAGUGGAGCAAUAGAUAUGGGAGUUCUUGCUGGGGACUAGGUCAGACAGGUGUCUGUCAAACUCAGACCCUUUGUCUCAAAGUCAACGCUCCACCAUGUCCAUGACAGAUCUGUCAUCUAUUUCUGACUCCACCUUGAAGCAGUUGUGUUGUAGCUCUGCUGUUGCAACUGUCUGCCAAUCAAACAAAAUGGACCUCGAGAGCCAGAGACCAACCGACCUGUCAGCUAGAGACCUUUGAGGACAUGGAUAUCUCAGACAUCCUCCAGGGCCCGUUGGCCGUUUGAGGAGGCUGCUAUGAUUAAGCACCCAGAGAUGUCCACCUCGACAAUAUACAGGUCUCUGCUUCUCGACUCAUCUCUCACCUCCUCUAACAUGGUCACUGAGAGCAUUAUCUUCAACAGCCCACGCCCAUCAGAGGAGAAUGCGAGUAUUCAGAAUGUGCUCCCUGCUGAUAAAGUUGACAUCCUCCAUGGUCAACCAGUGGAGGGGUAUAUCGUCAAAGCUGAGCAAUGCAUCACUCAGGUCAUUCAGGAUGCAGCUGUGACAUAUACUAGCGUGCUGGAUAAAACCGACACUUGUGGGAAACUGUCGGAAGUUCUGUCUGUCUGCGUUUCCGCUGAGAAUAUUGAGGAUGCAUCCUCUGAUCUAUUUGGUGGAAUUAUUUCCGACCUGCAUGAGGUAUCUGAGGUCAAUAAGACCUCCAUGCGUACAAAAUCAGGUUGCAAAAUGUUCUGGGUGGAAGUGAGUUCAGGUUCCCAGAAGAUUUAUACCAAAACCCUGGACAAACUGAGGAAGCUUUUCACCCCUCACCUUCUCACAGAGCUCGAUUUGGAUAAUUUUUCCCUCAAUGACAUUGGACUACUUGUAACUGAGACCACUGUGGAGGUAUCUCCUGUACAGAAGACAGACAUUAAUACCUCUUCAAUGUCCUCAGCCCACCAGCUCACCCUCGACACCUGCACUAAAGGGGUCAUCAAAAAGGUAUUCUCGGUGCUGAGGGUGGAGACUUCAACCAGAAGAUGGACUAAAUUUCGAAAUUGGAGAGCCUCAGCCGAGAUUGCCAAGCUCACGCAAUCUCGUAGUGCUGCCAGCAGAUCCUCUAACAUUUCCAUCCAAAGCUUUCACAGUGCUGAGUUCCAAGCUACGGCCAAACAGAUUGUGCGUGAGGCCAUUCUCAGAGCUGCUAGCGAAGCCAACUGUUCUUUGCCACAGAGCAGCACCUUCUCACACCAUGUGGUUUCUACAACUGAAGAUAUAGUGAAUAUGAUCAUGCAAGACCUUGAAAGUCUAUCCCAGUACAUAGAGGAGGAUGCAGCCUCCUUCCCACUAGGAGAGAAAAAGCUGCAGUCCCAGAGUUGUCUUUGACACCUUAUUGGAUGCUGCUCAAACCAUGUACCACAGAGUAAAGGAUAGACUGAACGUCUUUGUCUUUUCCAUCCGUGUCAGUCACCACAGCCAAAGAUGUGCUGGACUCCACCCCUGUGGAGACACUCAGAUGCUCAAAGUCCCCUGACACUGCUCUUGUUAAGGACAGGAGCCGCCCUGUCUGUGAGAAGUGAGAAGCCAUUUUCAAAAGUCAGUUAGACACAAGGGCUUUAGACCUUUUAGUCAUCGAGUGGCUCCUCCACAGACCACCAUGUAAUUGACACAUGCAGUGAGGAUGUCACUCUGCCCCCCAGGAGUAUGUCAGUUGUGAGCGUCACCAGUUUGAAGAGAACCUCUCCUCUCCAUGGUAGUGGAUUGAGUGCAAGUUGUGAACCUCUUGUGGCUCUACAAGACAGAACAGUGGCAGUCAGCCAAGAAGACUUUAGCAAAACUACAAAGACGACGCUCAGCUUGAUCCUAAAUGUGAUCAAGUGCAGAUUGGCCAACUGAGAGUUCAUCUGUUGGGCAGAAUGCAAGUGAGGAGUGUUUGAUAGCCACUAACAUGUUAGACUCUCAACUGGAGAUCCUUGACCUGUUGCCUGACAUGAGUGCUGCCAAUGAGAUCACAAGGACAGAAUGCCAUACCUCUAAUGCAAUGGACAAGACAGGUUCACAGUCAGCGCUUGUGAGUCAACAAGAAAUAAACAUAUCUCUCACCAGUAUCAUAGUGAAAACUAUAAUGGACACAUUGGAGACAGACGACCCAGAGAUGACUUCAGCAGAAGAAAAUCUGGAUAGGCUCCUGUCAAUUGAAGCCCUUCAAGAUGCGUCUGGCAACCUGAUCAAAGGUCCAUGGUCUCAUUCAGGAGAUAACCAUAAGCCGCCAGCUUCAAUCCACGACUGGCCACAGAAGCCUCUCUCAACCAGCGCUGCCAAAGCCAGCACUGAGGAAGCUGUCAAAGGACGAUGCGUCAGAGCUCGUUUACAGCUUUGCCCAGACUUCUGUUAGCAGACUCCUGGGACAGUGUUUGGGUAGGCCUAUGCCACCCACCGCUGACAGGGUUUUGGAUCAGGUCAUCAACUUGAUGACAGACAUUUUUUAAUUUUUUAAAAUUUAUUUUACCUUUAUUUAACCAGGUAGGCAAGUUGAGAACAAGUUCUCAUUUACAAUUGCGACCUGGCCAAGAUAAAGCAAAGCAGUUCGACAGAUACAACGACACAGAGUUAAACAUGGAGUAAAACAAACAUACAGUCAAUAAUACAGUGUAAACAAGUCUAUAUACAAUGUGAGCAAAUGAGGUGAGAAGGGAGGUAAAGGCAAAAAAGGCCAUGGUGGCAAAGUAAAUACAAUAUAGCAAGUAAAACACUGGAAUGGUAGUUUUGCAAUGGAAGAAUGUGCAAAGUAGAAAUAAAAAUAAUGGGGUGCAAAGGAGCAAAAUAAAUAAAUAAAUUAAAAUUAAAUACAGUUGGAAAGAGGUAGUUGUUUGGGCUAAAUUAUAGGUGGGCUAUGUACAGGUGCAGUAAUCUGUGCAUGGUGAUGGACAGCCUGACUGAUCUGUCCAAGUCUGCAAUGGAGGAUGGUAAGUGAAAGUACCUCUUCAUCUGCAUAGGACUUCAUUGUAACAUGAUGCUCAUUACAUUGCGUUUUAUGAUGUAAACUUCACUGGUUGUGUCCAAAAUGGCACCUUCCAUGUUUAGUGCACUACUUUUGACCCUAUGGGCCCUGUUCAAAAGUAGUGCACUAUAAAUGGAAGAGAAUGGCUUUUGGGACACAGUGACUGAUUUCCAUUGUUGUGUCCUCUUCUCCCAGUUAUUGUACCCAGCUCGGUCACACCAGCUUGCUCUUCUUACUUAGACACCAGCAAUGCCGCAAGUGACAUCAUUUGUGGUGUUGUGGCUGACCUUAAUGCUACUGAGGAAUUC